UCCAAAAUCUGAAAUGAUACAAAUCCAAAACGUUUUGAGUGUUGGCAUAAUGCUCAAUGGAAAUGCUCAUGAAAGCAUUUUUUAUUUAAGGUCUUUGGAUUAAGGAUGCUCAUCCAGUAAAUAUGAUGCAGCUAUUCCAGUGUCCAAAACGACCCCAAAUCUGAAGCACUUCUGGUCCCACCCAAGUAUUUCAGAUGAGGAAUACUCAACUCAUAAUUGGUGAUUACCUGCAUAGUUAGUAGAUGGACUGAGUACUAUCCAACUAGACAUGCUGAUGCCACAAUAGUAGUAAGGAAAAAAAACUGAGAUUAUUCUUCAUUUUGGCAUUACUUAAUGUAUUAAAUCAGACCAAGGAACUCACUUAACAACAGAAGUAAAUCACAUGCUCACAAAAACUCUAGGAUAGUCAUUAAAAUUCUAUACUCUUUACCAUCCUCAGUCCUCAGAGAGGUGGAACAUGAUAAUUUAGACAGUAAAAGAACUAUAAAAUAUGUCAGUACAAUAGACCUAAGUGGCCAGAAGCAUCACCCCUGACCCCGAUAAAAUCUGGAAAACCCCAAACAAGAGAGGUGGAUUAACUGCUUUUUGAAUAGUUUUUGAUAGCUUUAUGCCUAUUACCAUCUCCAAACAUUUUGUUCCUGAAGUGAGUGAGCAUUAUGGGGACCUGAGUGAAAGGUUCAUUAUUAUGGCUAGAUAUCUAAAAGAACUAUCUCUCUUGUACUUGGAGCUUACCAUUAACAGGCAAAAAAGUCAUGGCCAUUGUCUACCAAUGAGCUUUCUAUCCCUUUUGACCAAGCUAUCAAGCAUACAUCAAAAUUUUGACAAGAAAGCAUACACUGUCAUCUUUCUGGGAAGUACCUUAUGAAGCACUGCUGAACACCUACAUGGCCAUCAAAAAGAAAUCUUUCCUGGAUUCAUGCAAGUCAUGCCAAGUUAGACCCAGAUCAUCAUUUCCAGAAAAACUGAAAAGCUAUUCUUACAGCUGACUUCAAACCAAGGAUUUUCAGGGCCAAUUCACAGGGUCCCAAAGCAGAUGACAACACAAAGUGGACAAUUUUUUCCAAUAUCUUGGAUCAAGAACUACCUUUCCACCUAUUUUCCCUUGAUAUCUUUCUCUUCUCUGACCAAAGGAAAAAAAGGUAAAUAAAAACCUCAGAAACCUCUUUGAGCUUUAAACAGAAACCUUCCCCUUUAUUUAUUGAUGGACUGUCUGGAGAUUUCUACUCUUUUCUUCUUCUGUUUCUUCACAAUGAGAUGUUUUCCAAACUGUGUCUUGCUUCAAAUUACCCUUAUGGCUUUUUUGAGAAUCCUAGCAUAAAUCCAGCACCUACUUGUGCCAGUCUUCUAAACACUGGCAACUUCAAUCAAUCUGAAUUUUGGUUAUGUCAACAUAUAGGUAUACAGAAGCUAACUAGUUUUUGUCUCUGCCAAUGCAGGCACCUGGUGGACACAGGCUGGACUAUGAAUGUACAAAAGGGUAUGGUAUCUACAAACAGGAAGACAAAAAACAUGCCACCUCUCUUUCUGGUAAACUGAUUUGGCACUUGGAAAAUUCCAUGGAAGCUCAAGUUCUAUUCUUUGUUCAGGUGACAUUAUUGAAUGGACAAAUUUCCCUUUUCAUUGGAAACAGAAAUGGUACUGGACCCUUUCUAGAGAAACAUGUAAAUAGAGAAGCACAGAUCCAACUUAACUGAUGACAGAGGUUGUGAAAGACAUCAGAUCCCAACUUGAUCUCUUACCUCACAGCUUCUAACCCAAAUCUUAUUUCUACAGCAACCAACACAGCUUCUCGUUUGUAAAACUUCUCAAGAUGUUUCAAAAUGGAAGAAAUGCCGAAACCCACAAAGAAUCCUCGAGCUGGUAUGGUUAUUUUUAGCUGAAGACAUUUGAGAUUCCACAGAUGCAGAAAAGAACCUUCUCAGAGCUUCCUUCUUCUGAUUAAAAGCAGCCACUUCUGGGAAAUAAGGCUGGCAUAAAUCCUCUCUUGAGAGUGGCUUUACUCCCAGAAACAAGACCAAGGGUAAAUCUACCAUAAAUCCCCUCUCCAGGGGAGUUUGAUGGCCAUAAAGAAGAUGAAAAGGGUGCUCACACCUGCAUAAACAAACGUUAUCACAAACUUUCUUAUCUCUUGUUUGUUCUCCCAAAAACCUAUUUGUCUUUCCUAAAGAAAUCCAUUUGUUUUCCUUAUAGAAGUCUUUUCUCCUGACUUACUUCUCCUACUAAGUUAGAUAUAUAAACUUCUAAUUUAACCUUUUAGGAAACUACUUCUCUUGUAAGCUCUUGUAUGCAAAUAAACUGUUUUUUUUUUCUCUUGUUAGUGUGUAUUUUCACAGCAUAUCCUCCACCCAGAUCCUGAAUUUGAGAGGGUAGAGGAAAAGUUUUCCUCUCUAACACUUUUGUUUUCUGUCAAUGGCUUAGCCGGAUUGCUAGUCUUCCUAUUAAAAGUAGCAAUUUAUUCUUCCAAAGAUAGUUUCGAAAUAAUAUUCCAUAGAAUUUUCUUUUUAAAUAACCAGGUAAUACCUACCUUGACAUCAAGAGAGCACCAUGAUCAGUAAUUUUAAUGCCCUGGGAACAUACUUUUAAGUAUACACUGUUUUUCAACCAAUAUUGGAAAGGGAAAGUUCCAAACCAUACUAAUUGGACCU